UCCGGUGGUGUGAGAUGGACCCGCGUCUGAUUAGCAGUUGGCGGGGUAACGGCCCACCAAAGCGACGAUCAGUAGCCGGCCUGAGAGGGUGAACGGCCACAUUGGGACUGAGACACGGCCCAAACUCCUACGGGAGGCAGCAUG
rnacentral:rRNA from 1 species